rnacentral:tRNA from 1 species
GAGAGGUGGCCGAGCGGUUUAAGGCACAUGUCUUGAAAACAUGCAACGGGGAAACUCGUUCGAGGGUUCGAAUCCCUCCCUCUCC